rnacentral:tRNA from 1 species
GCCAGGUGCCAGUGGUUAGCACUGUUGCCUCACAGCAAGAAAGUCCUGGGUUCGAAUCCCGGCUGUCC